UGAACUAAGAUGUAAGCUAAAAUUAUAGAACAUAAACUGAAGAUUAUUCAUCAAAAAAGAGAGAAACAAGCAACAGUCCCAGAGAGGCAAAUGAUGGAUCCAGUUCUGCUUCUCUACUGAAAUCUUUCAACAUGAUGGAUCGGCUUAUGGUCAUGCCAGGAGCCCCAACACUUCUCCACUGUUCUCUGCAGACCAGUGUGCUCUCACAGGAAAGAGCUACAUGACCACACAAAUCAUCGAACAUGACCCCCAUAUGAGCCAUUGAAAUCCCUUAGAGCAGAUGUGUUUUUUUCUUCCGGGGCUCAUCAGUCUAACAUGAUAAACUCUGCAAUAGGGAAAUUAGCACCUGUCAAGCUCAGGAGAAGAUGCAGGCUGCAUCAGAUGAACCAGCAGCGGGUGCAGCAUCACCUCCCUCAAUCCAGUUAACUUCACUCAAACCUACCAGAGCACCUUCAGCAUUAAAUUACACAGCUGUUGCUGGUCUCUGCUCAGCCUUCACCACCUCAUCUUAUUGCGGUGACAAAGUCCAGCCUAGACCGACACCUUUUACAAGCGGUCCCUCUGCUCCUCCUAGCUCCCACUGGAUCGGUUUGAGUCUGGUCCCUCCUUUGCCUCAGCCCAGCCUUUGUUUAAGUCCCAUUAUGCUGGUCCCCAUCAGCAGGCCAGCAGAAUUCUGGUCUGGCCCCUGCGCAUCUCCUCACCCCUCACCUUACCUCUUCAACUGGGAGGCUUCUCCAAGCUGGUGUUCUUGCCCACAGGCAGUGUCUUACCAUCAAAGCUGCAGUCCAGCUGUGGUUUUGAGAUCAGGAGGUGGCAAGCAGCCGAACAUGAAUGUACCACCAGUGUCAAAAAACAAGGGACAAGUCAAACUCAAGCUCUUCAGAGACAGAAAACUCUUCCAUCUCUGGAGGAGGAAUCUCUUCACAAUGAGACCUUCAACAACCACAUGAUG